AAUUGUCCCUAGGGGUGCCGCAAGGCUGAGACGAACGUUCCGUUCGGACCCUUUGAACCUGAUCUGGUUAAAACCAGCGUAGGAAAGCGGAGAAUGAAUGAA
rnacentral:ncRNA from 2 species